AGUUUUUUAAGAUGAGAAUCUGGAGUAUGUGAUUAAAAAAAACACCUCUGAUAAGACAAAAAAAGGGAACACUUUCAGGUUUUCAUGAAUGGAGGGAAGAUGUGGAAAUGCGCAAAUCUCCAGAAAUCCAGAAUGAUCUUUCAGUUGCUGAACAAUGAACCUUCAAUGAAGCAAAUAACGAAAGGAGUGGAUCUACCAAUCUUACCGAUGAUAGUUGAUAUAUCAAGGCGCACAGUACAAUCGCUGUUGUCCCCAUCAUCCACAAUAUGACAGGACCAAAAAUAUCUUGAAGUGAGUCUCGACACUUGAGCAACUCCACAUACUGUUGGGUGCAUUCCUUUAUGAUAACGUCCAUAUCUUUCUGGUCUUCGACAUGAGUCAACCGAUACGACAUGACUCGAAGUUGUCCAAUAAUCUGGAAUACAUAGUACGCAAAGAGAGCAUCCAUACCACAUGUGACACACCAUACGGUGAUUGAAGCGAUUAUUUCAAUGAAAAAAUGGAGCUGAUAGAAGAAUCCAUCCGACACGUUCCAAGGAUACAAUCCAGGAUAGAUAAGUAACGUAGCCUCCAACAGUGAUGAAUAUCGUUGGAAUGAGGGUCCAACAUAAUCGUCGAACUGUGGUAAUACCGACUAAGACACGUUGAGCAAAUCGUUCAUCACUGAGAGCUGCAGAAAAGUACUCGUCCAGAGUACGAUGAAGUUCAAGUCCGCGUUUACGAUUUAUCAUGAUAGACGAUAUCUGAAAAUGAUGAAUUGAAAAGCGUUUGAGGGUUUAGGUGAUUUUAGUGUACGGUACCUUCAGCAUUGACAGCAUUAAACUGGUUCCGAUUGUCAUUCCUCUUAAUGAGACAGCAACUCGCGUUAUGUAGUGAUAGAUGAAGCGUAUGACAGCUAGACCAGCGAAGAACGAGGCGAAAAAGCAGAUGUAGGGUAGGGAACGAUAGAAUAACCCCGGGGCUUUCACUGGCCAGAGGCCGAUGCAGUACAGGAGAAAUUUUGUUGUCC